rnacentral:rRNA from 1 species
UACAGAGAGUGCGAACGUUGUUCGGAAUUACUGGGCUUAAAGCGCACGUAGGCGGUGUCGUAAGUGUCAGGUGAAAUCCCACGGCUCACCCGUGGAACUGCCUGGCAGACUGCGAUACUCGAGUGUGGUAGGGGAGAGCGGAACUCCUGGUGGAGCGGUGAAAUGCGUAGAUAUCAAGAGGAACACCUGAGGUGAAGACGGGUUGCUGGGCCGACACUGACGCUGAGUGCGCGAAAGCCAGGGGAGCAAACGGG